rnacentral:lncRNA from 1 species
ACUAAUGGUCGUUGGCCUUAUUACAUUUUUAAAGCAACUGAAAAGGCUCCUAACUACUUGGUCCCAAAAGGACCUUCCCCAGAAUCGGCAUUUUUAGCUCCAUCUAACAGCUUCACCAUCUCACAAAGUCCUAGCAGUAAGUAAGCUCGGUCCAGAUGUCCACCCGCAUUUCCUUUGUCAUUUUGACAAUCUUCAAUCCUUUUGACGAAUACCCCUUCCAGCUCCACUAAUCCUUGCUCUAAGUGCCGCAGUAACUUGUCGCCGUGGACAGCCAUAUCUUUCCAUUCUUCAAUCAGAUUUUGGUGGGCUUCUUGAAUUUCUUGAUGCUCACUUUCGCAUUCCUUUUACACGGCUGGUUAUACUUGACAUGUGCUUCAGUCUUUUCCUCAAUGAUCCCGUGACCUCGAACAUAUCCUGGUUGACCUAACCCAUCUCGACCAUCUUCCAACCAAUCCAUAUAGUAUGGAGUAUAGUCAGCGUGGUGUCUGUCUGGUUCAAUGGAAUCCUUUAUCAGUACGAUUUUGCAAUGCCAUAUGUAUUGAGCUUGGCACUUGUAUGGAUAAUCGUCGUCAUGAAAGUCAGCCCUGAAGUGGCUCAUCUUGUCGACCCUUGGUAUAAUCUACUUCCUCCCUCCCUGUAUCAUAACUCGGAGAGGAAUGUAAGGAUAAGUUCCCCUAAAAUCGAUAAGUAUCAAGAACGGUGUAUCCCUAGAUCGGGUGAACGGUGCAUCCCUAGAUCGGGUAAUGAACUCUUCAGUUGGAAACCAUUCAAACAUUCACUGCGCUUGGUCCUUUUUCAGAUUUUCAAAUAACUCUACCCACCCUCCGGCAUUUUCUAGCUGAGCGAACAUGUUGGGCAUAUAAUUCAUUCGCCUUGGCUAAUAGAAAGCGAUAUGAUCAUCCCAGUCUCUGCGCAGAAUCUCUUGCCGAUAUUCACCCUUUUGGAGGUGCUCC